rnacentral:misc_RNA from 1 species
GGAGGGAUCAUUACCGAGUUUACAACUCCCAAACCCCUGUGAACAUACCUCUUCGUUGCUUCGGCGGUCCCUCGCGGCCGCCGGAGGACCCAAACCUCUUGUCUGUUAGUGUCUCCUAUGAGCUGCACAGCGUAAAUACAAUCAAAACUUUCAACAACGGAUCUCUUGGUUCUGGCAUCGAUGAAGAACGCAGCGAAAUGCGAUAAGUAAUGUGAAUUGCAGAAUUCAGUGAAUCAUCGAAUCUUUGAACGCACAUUGCGCCCGCCAGUACUCUGGCGGGCAUGCCUGUUCGAGCGUCAUUUCAACCCUCGAGCCCCCGGGCUCGGUGUUGGGGACCGGCCGCCCCCCGCGGUGGCCGCCCCCGAAAUCCAGUGGCGGUCUCGCCGCAGCCUCCUCUGCGCAGUAGUUAACACCCUCGCACUGGAACGCGGCGCGGCCCUGCCGUGAAACCCCCAACCCUCCUCAGGUUGACCUCGAAUCAGGUAGGAAUACCCGCUGAACUUAAGCAUAUCAAUAAGCGGAGGAAAAGAAACCAACAGGGAUUGCCCCAGUAACGGCGAGUGAAGCGGCAACAGCUCAAAUUUGAAAUCUGGCCUCGGCCCGAGUUGUAAUUUGCAGAGGAUGCUUCUGGCGCGGUGCCUUCCGAGUUCCCUGGAACGGGACGCCACAGAGGGUGAGAGCCCCGUAUGGUCGGACACCAAGCCUGUGUGAAGCUCCUUCGACGAGUCGAGUAGUUUGGGAAUGCUGCUCUAAAUGGGAGGUAUAUGUCUUCUAAAGCUAAAUACCGGCCAGAGACCGAUAGCGCACAAGUAGAGUGAUCGAAAGAUGAAAAGCACUUUGAAAAGAGAGUUAAAAAGUACGUGAAAUUGUUGAAAGGGAA